CCUGAAUGAUUCUGAGUUUUUGUAACAAAUUGAGUGAGUUAAAGAUUCAGUGACUCAUUCAUAAACACAGCGACUUGCUUCAUUCCAGAAUAAAUGAACCAUUUUAAAUGAAUCAUGAAUCAGUGACUCACUCAUUAAGACAGCAACUUGCCGCCACCUACUGGUGGUUUUAGUUUUAUGUUUAAAUCAAGCCAAUAAUUAAAUUCCAUGUUUGUACAUUAAACAUAUUCAAUAUUUAAAGCAUUAAUUUUGUAACACUACGCAGCUGCAACUGCAGUGUAAACACGUUCAUGGCAUCUCUGAGAUUUAAAUACAACUAAUGCCACUUUCGAUUUAAUUUGAUUGCUAACAGCCCUAUAAUGUCUUAUUUAAUGAAUAACUACAUGCAUUUACAUUUCAAGCUGUUAAAGCCUACAUUAAGGGUAAAAACGCCCUGGAAAUCUAUUGAACUUAAUUUUCCUUAAUGGAAAAGUUGAUUUCUGUCACAGCUUAUAGGUUCAAGUAUUAUUUAUUUAUCAGUUUUUAUCCCGUCCUUCUUUCUGGUGUUAUAGAUCUUCCCAGAAACUCUCACAUUCCCACCUGCGCCGCCAGUUUACAAGAAACCGCAGCGAGAUUCCAGCGUCUCUUUCUCACUGUGAAGAUCAGCGCUGAACAUUCCUGCAGAUUUACAGCAACAUCUGUACCAUAAAGAACAUCUGUUUCACAUCGUCUAAAGGAUGGAUGAAGAUUUCAGUGCAAUAAGAAAGCAUCCUCAGACAGAAUCAGAUCCUGAGAUGCUCUGCAGAUGGGUUAAUGAGAGCUAAACGACUCUGCCGGUCAUCAAUUAUCUCAACAUCUGCGUCCACGCUGCAACAUCUGGCAACAAUGAGGACCAAUCGGCUCUGAAAUAGAGAUAAGAGGCAGGCAUGUGAAAUCCAUUUGCUCUGCUUAGUCACAGAGUGGGAGGUAAACUCUGGGCCUUCAGCUGAUCUGAGGUCAGCCGCUCCAGCGCCGGGUCACGUUCAGAUGCUCCUCGGCCGACGCAGGAUCAGGGAAAAUCCGCCGGUGGUCUGAGAAAUAGUUGAUUUCCUGUCUAGUUUCACUGGAGCCAAAAUCAAAGUGGGGGAAUUAUUUUGGAAUUCCAGUCAUUCUCACGUUUUUUUUUUUUGCCAGGAAACUCUUUGUUGGCCGCGAUUGAAAUGAAACGCUUCUCGACUCGAAAUGCUUUGAUCAACACACUGCUUUCGUGUUUAACGGCUUUAAAUACCUGCUGCAUUAAAAAAUACACAGCAAUGUGCAGCUAAAUGGACUUCAGUUGUUCUUACUGUGAUGAACGGUCCAUCAGUGCAGGGUUACUAUAAAUAAAACCGUUUUUACUUCAACAUUAACUUUAAUAUAAAAAGAAUUUCUACUAGUUGCCAAGGCAACAUUUUUCAUUUUAAUUUACCUUAACUCAAAUAAAUACUAAAAAUAAAUAUAUAUAUAUUUUUUAAUAAAAUUAAGUAAAAAUUAAAUGCAAUUUUUUUUAUAAAAAUUAGUAAAAAAAUUAAAUGCAUGAAAAAUGUAAUUUUUUAAAUUAAAAUUAUAUCGAUACGUCUGAAAAACUACAAAAAAAAUAAAUAAAAAAAAAAUCACAAAACAAACUGUCGAUUAAAAUUCAAAUAUAAAAACGGAUUUGUAAUAUUAAUUGAACUAUAAUAGUAUCACAUUAAUACAAAAAAAACAACAACAAAAACACUAAAUGUCAAAAAGGAUCUUGUCAUCAUCUA
rnacentral:lncRNA from 1 species